AGUCCCGAGGUCCCGAAGAUCCCGAGAAGUAAGAUUCCCGAGCCGAAGCUCUGCCCGCGAGGAGUCCGGUUUUUGUGAAGAUCUUCCAGAUCUGCCGAAGAAUACUACUUCUACAAGCCGUAGUGUUGUCCGAUCAUCUUCUGAUCAAGUGAGUGUGUAGUUACUUUCUUCUAACGCAUAAUUAUGAAGUAUUUUAUACGAAAUACGUGUUAUGUGUAUAUUUUGUUGUUAUAUGUGUGAAUGUAUAUUCACUUUCUUCUAUCUUAUAGAUCUGAUUAUUUCUCUAUGAAAUACGUGUUAUGUGUGUGUGCCUCAUCUGUUAUGUGGAAAAUGUAUUGAUUGAGCAUGCUAUACAGGUUUUAAAACUAUGUAUAAAAAUGUAUAUUUUAUCUACUAAUAUGUUGGGUAGAACAUGGGUAGAUAGUUGGUGUGUAAUAAACAGAUGAGAGGCCUCGAUGUUGUUUUGAUCCAGUCAUCUAGCGGAAUUUAGAUGACGACCACAGACUUUUCUAGAUAGUCCAGUGGAACGCUAGCAGGCUCAUAACCUAUAUGUGUUAAUGAACUUGGGUGUUCAUUCGCUGUAUUCCAUCCCCCUCAUGGUUGCCUUAUUUGACUUAUAUUGCUGAGGAACCCCCGAAGCAUGUGUUGUCGCCCCGAUGAAAUAUUCUUAGACUAGGUCCCUUAUGUUAGUUGUCUUAGGGACGUAAAGUGAGAAUAACGGGAAUGGGUAAUUGGUUUAUUGUUGGUUGGUGGAAAUUAAAUAUAAUUAUUUAUUGUGGGUUGAAAACCCUAUAUGCUCUCCAGGCUCCCACGUCUGACCCACUCAGUUUAUUUGUAUUACAGGAAGUGGCGCAAGGGCAUGACAUGGAUGAAUCAUCAAGUUGGUUUGUUUACAAGUCUGUAUAUGUAUAUAUUUGUUGAAUGACUUGUAAUGUUAUCGUUUAUGCUUUAUGGUCUAUAUCGGAACAUGACAUCCCGAGUUAUGAUUUUAUAAUGAAAAUACAUUUUUUUUUAUGAAAUGCUUUGGUAAAUAUUAUUUUAUCACAUUUUGUUUUUGGGAACAAAUUCAGCAACUCUUUCAAAUCAAAAGGAUUUACUCUGAAAUUAUUUUAAAAGCAUAAAUGAAAAUCGGUCUUUUCUGGCCGAGAUUUUGGGGAUGUCACAGUUGGUAUCAGAGCAUUAGUUUAAGAAUGAUUUGAAUAUCUAUCGUGAAUGAGGAUCUAAUUUCACCUUAUUCGGUGUAUAGAUCAAAAAUGGUGAGAACAAGAAGUGGAGUUGGAAAUGCUGAUGAAAACAGGAAUCAACCACCAGUGAUUGAGCAAAUACCUGUCGUAGCAGCAGCACCUGAGCCAAUAACCAUGGCUGGUGUGCAAAUGAUGAUUCAAACAAUGUUGGAUCGUAAAAUGGAGGAGACUAGGCGAUUGCUUCAACAGAAUCGUGAAGAACUGUCAAUUCAUGUGGAAGAGCCUGAAUUAAAUGAAGGGCACUAGGAAGGUGGAAACUUCAGUGGGUCUAUUGGUCAAGCCAACCCACCGAUAGUUAGGCAAAACAACCAUGAUGGAAGGAAUGAUGGAAUGGGAUGCAAGUACAAGGAAUUUCUAACUUGCAAACCAUCGACCCUCAGUGGAAAGGAGGAUCCGAUUGGAGUUAUGGAUUGGAUCUCCGAAAUGGAGUUAGCUUUCAUGACUUGUGGCUAUAGAGACAAGUUGCAAACUAUCUAUGCAGUGCGUCAGUUUCAAGGUGGAGCCGUUAGUUGGUGGAACACUCUAGGGAAGAAUUUAAGCCCUAAUGAGCCACUACAAUUGACAUGGGCAGAAUUCUUGGUGCAGUUUAAACGCAAGUUCUGUUCGGCCCAAAAUGUGACAACCCAAGUUUACUUCGUUACAUUACCACGUUACCGUUAACGGAAUAUUCCAGUUUAUAAAAGUUAUGUUAAUUGGAGGUCGCCAAAUAAAUAAGUGUUUUAUUUAUUUAUAUAAUGUGUUGUUAAUGUCGUAAUAAAAAUAAAUAAAGACACUUACCUUACAUUUCCAUUUAAUUGGAAAAAGUUAGUUUUUAUUAUUACGACCACUAAAUCGUGUGCGACCAAAAGCCCCGUUAAACGACAGUAUUGGGUAGAUUCCCACUGAGCUCCAACUCCAACCCAUGUAUAAGGGGGGAGUAAACCCCAUUUGAACCUUUUCCACCCUCUCUCUCUAUACUCUCUCUCUUUAGGCUCGUUUUCGACUAAAAUCCGCAACCAAACGCUUCCAAAUCGUAAGUCCACUUACCCUAGCUUGUUCCAAACAUCUUGGCUUGUGAUUAUACCCCAAAAAUCGGACUUAGAAGCUGUGAAAGAGGAGUUUACGGCCUAAGAUCCUCCUUAGGCUGUAAACCCCUUAAAUGUGGCCAAAAUUACCCGAACUUGUCCCAUUGAGCCUAGGAACCAAUUAAGGAAUUUGUCUAGGAGUGUUUAAUCAUCAAAACACAAGAUUUUAGGGCAUAAAAGAGAGUUUACGGCCCAAGCACAUGCUUAGGCCGUAAACACCUCUAAACCUUGCAAAAAUGCCCCAAACACACUCCCAAACCACCCUUAGGCUUAAUACAUAAAUUAGGGGCUUGCUAUUUUGGGUUUAGAGCAUUCAAACACAAGGAAUUGAGGGAUUAAAAGGAUUUUACGGCCCAGACAUAUGCCAAGGCCGUAAACACCUCCAAAUCAAGCCAAAUGAUGGUUUUAAUCCCCUCGAAUGGCCUCAUACCUCAUUAUAAAUUACUAGGGUUGGAAUAGGGACUUAAAACUUCAAUAAAAUCAAGGUGUAGGAGUUCACGGCCGUGAACUCCCAUAGGGUGGUUCAUGGGCCGUAAACUUCCCUAUGGUCCCUUUAAAAGCCCUAAACCCAUUCAUACCUUCCGGAUUUGGACCUAGCAAAAUUCCACGAACAAGAUAGAGCCCUUAAAACACCCUAGAACCCCUCACCAUGAGUUUACGGCCGUAAACUCAUGGGGAGUUGUCCCUGGGCCGUAAACACCAUACGGUGAGUUUACUCUUGGAGAGUAAACUCCAUUCCUAAGUCAUUCAAACCCUUAAAUGUUACCCGGGACACCCCAAACACUUAACCAAAGUGUUUUCCGCUCCUUAGAGUGCGUAUACUUGUUUAAUUAGUAUUAUAUGUACUAAUGGUAUGUGAACCUAUGUUAUCAUAUGUUAAAUAGGUCACUAAGUGUGUCCAAGUCUUUACUUGACACUGAGCACCCAACCGGCACCUUCGUCGGAUCUACUUACACCAGGUGAGUUCAUACCCCUGAAUGAACCUUUUAAAUGUUUUUACAUGUUUUAUAGGGGGGAUACAAGUUAAACAUGCCAGUUAUCAUAUCAAUCACAUGUGAUUGAUAACCCGCAUGCACAAGGAUUUACCACACUGUAAACUGUUUUACCAAGUAGGACACUAUAAAUGGUUUUCUAAAAGGUUUUCACUUGUUUCAAAACUCUUACUUAUGCUGUUUUAUCAAAGUUCAUUGUAAACUGGUUUAUGAAAAGUUUCCAAAAGAUUUCUAAAGGUUUUUCAAACUUAUUUUACAACAGAAUACCCUGUCGUGAUUUUCUCAAGAAUAAAAGUUUUCUUCCAUGUUUUAAUACUCCUUCUUAGUUAAAGUUACUACUUGAUAACGCUUUCACUUUGUGAUAGCUUAUACCUGUUAGACGCUCUUACUUCACUUGUUGUCGCUUCCACUUCGUGAUACACUUAUACCAGUUAACGCUUAUACUUCGCGGUCCGGUUAUUCCACACUGUACACGUAUACUUCACGAUCCGGUUAUUCCAUACGAUUCGGUUAUACUUCACGAUAUGAUUCCACUUGUUACACACUCAAGCGUAGUUAGAUGUAUGUAUGUGCUUGUUUAGAUGCAUAUAAGUAAUGAUUGAAGGGCUUAGGAAGGCUUGUCCGCCCUAUUUCCUUUUCUUCGUUGAGAUGUGGUCUGGUGGGAUCGGAUGUCCAUCCGAAGGUCGUUUGAUUCAUUAGUUAUAUAUUAUGUACACAAGCAUAGACAUAUGGGUUUACUUUAGUCAGUUCAGUUAUGAGUCUCUACCUCUAGUUCAACACUGUAUUGGGAACACACUACCCACUAUUUGGGAUGCAUCUUCGGGACACGGCCUUCUCCGUCGUCUAGUUGGUAACCAGAGUCUCCUGUAGGGAGAGCGGACAUUGUGUGUAUAGAUCUAUACGGGAUUGACACCCCCGCACCCUGACUGCUAGCUACAGUCCACGGCCCACCAAGCCAAGGGGUGACAAAUGUCAUAUUUUAUAGACGCUUGUAGGGCGUCAAGUACUCUAGUGUCGGUUAGUAUGGUUACGAGAAUCCCAGGUUACCUUAUAAUUAAUGGCCUUAAGGUAAUGGUAAUUCACCAGCAAUUUACAUUGUAUGCUGGAAAACCCACUCUCGGAGUCACACUGUUUUAGACCUUGCUAGACGUAUCAUUCAUUUGAUACUGUCUGGGGUCUGUAUUCACUGUAUUCACUGUAUUUACUGUAUUCACUAUAUUCACUGUAUUCACUGUAUCCACUGUAUUCACUGUAUUCGCUGUAUCCACUGUAUUCACUGUUUUAUACCUUGCUAGACAUAUCAUUCAGUUGAUACUGUCUGGGGUCUGUGCUCACUGUUCUAGACCUUACUAGAUGUACCUUUCAUUUGGUACCGUCUGGGGUCUGUGUCUCUUUCUGUUAGACUGAACCAGGCGUGUCGCUCAUUCGAUACUCUCCUGGAAUUUAUGAUUCCCUUGCCUUAGUCAGCAGUCCUCACUGCUGAGGCAUAUGUUAUUUCCCUGAAUUCUCCUGCUUUCUUAAUAAUCAAAUUCUAUGUUCUCAUAAUGAUAGCGAUUAAGGGAAAACUACUUUUUACCACAUAACUCUGUCCAGUCUUGGUAGAAGACUACUUUUAUUAAAGAAAAUAUAGGAUUUUCUGGAAAAGACACUAAUGUAAUCGAUACACUGAAACCACCACUUUCAUUAAAGUUAUUUGAAUAAAAUUCCACUAAAUGCUUAUGAACUCACCAGCAUUUGUAAAAAUGUUGAUACUCGCUUUUCAAAUAACUUGUAUUCUCAGGUCAGCAUUAGACAGGUACAUCCCCGGAGCUUCUGAUGAAGAUAGCUUAGUACCAUGCUGUACUUAUUAUAUUUACUUGUAUUACUUCGUCGUAUUGUAAUGUAAACCAUGUAAAACUAUUACUAUUAAUGCAAUGUUUUGUUGUACUUUGAUUACUAUAAUGCAUGUGUUGUGAUACUUGACAUGACGUCAUCCACCCCAGAACGUUUCCGCCGUUCCGGUUUUGGGGUGUGACAGAUUGGUAUCAGAGCAUUGUUUAUAGUGAGCUAAGUAUAUCAAUUCAUAAAAGAUAUACAGCCUAUAAAUACAAAGGGAUAAAACACUCUGACCAAGAAUUAUACUUUAAAAUAUAACCAUAUUUUACCAAAGUAUAAGAACAUCCAGAACCUAAACACUCGAACACAAGUAUCACAAUAAGAACAAUAAUAAAAGUCUUCGGAUGUUGAGCAUCACCUUCAAACAUGGGCAGUUAUGUAAUCGUAAGCUGGAAUAAAUGUAACCUGAUCAACUACAUUUAUUCGAGAUGCGAUGAACGUGUGCUUGGGAGUGAUAGUGGUGUUGCAAUAGGUCUGAAACUUACCAAUUAGGAUUGAUAGAGCCAAACAUAAAGUUUUAAAAUACUAUAGGAGUAUUUUGGAAUACUAAAAGACUAACAAUAAUCCCAGAAUCACAAUCAGAAGAUAAGAAUCAAACAAGAAUUAAAAUACCAUAGGGGUAUUUUAGGAUCCAUAACUAACCUUGUGUGAAGAACUAAAAAGAUCCUUAUUGAUAUACCUACAACUACAGAGAGUGUACUCCCAAGGUUAUAUAUAAUAAGGAUCCCAUAGGCUAAGAAUGUGUGGUUUCGCUCUACUUCCUUUUCCUCGUUGGGAUGUGGAUAUAGAGUAGUAUCACAUAUUCGAAGGCCUAUCGGAUCUAAGCUAUAUAUGAUUUGUAUACCCUGUGUAAUCGUAGCAGGACUCGAUAUGGAUCAUCCAGUGAAAUGUUAAUAAUCUCUUAGGAUUCUUUAGACAUUUCCAUUCUUGCACGAACCCUGUAGAAAACCCUAUCCACUUCAGUGCUUAACAGGAGAGUUGAGUCCGACCCCGAAGAAGUUCAUUGAGAAGAUUUCCAGCUCGGAAACGAAUGAACUAGGUCGAGACUAUUGAAUUCACCAAGUGCCUAUAUCUUUUAGGGACAUCGGUGAGAAAUUCGCCUAAACUUCGGAGAUUCCCAGUCAUCCAUCAUGAAGUGAUGACACCCAGAGUCGGAAUCAGAAGGAAGGCGGAGUAGAAACUCAAUAUGUCCAUACGAGGAGAGAACCCUAGGUAACUACCUGAAGGAAACCAACGCCGAUUCCAAUCAAAGAUACGAGGCAGACAGAGGGAGCCAAUACAUGGAACCCUAGAAGUGUCUUACCCUCGUGUUCGUCAUGCUAAUACACCCUUAAAAUAAUACAAUUUAGUGAGUUAGUGAUUACACUACUCACGCUAUGUGUUAGGUAAAUCGUCGUUUCCCGUUGCUAGUUACACGAUUUGAGCGGAUCCCCGCACCUCUAUUGAGAAUAUUUAGCCAUAAGCCUUCAUGAGCCUUUCUUUCGUCGGUCUUCGUUCCAAAAUGUUCUCAAAUCUUUCCAGGUCGGAGAGUGAAACCUUUCCUAGCAUAAAGGUAAUUUAGUAGGAACGAAUCGCAUGUUAUGGCCUUUUUCCAAUACUCAUACUCCUACCUUGCAUACCAGGACUACAUCAUAGGGAUGUAGGUCGACACUCAAACAACCAAUACCAGAGGCACGGGAAAAAUCUAUGCCUAAGGCAGUCGGGACAGAUAUGUCCAGGGUUAGCCAUCGUCUCAUAUUAUCUUGCAUUCCUUUCCGUGUAGGAAAAACUAUGCCAUCAAAGAAGCGUAACCAGUCCACAAGCAAGAAACCUACUCUUUUAUUCGAUGAAGCUACGUUCCAAGCUGCAAUCUCAGCAGCCGUAGCAGCUGUCAUGGCUCAACUGAAUGCUAACAACGCCAAUGUUAGUAAGAGCCCUAUCGGAAAUUCCGAUCCUAGUAGUGGACAGUAGCAACCAACAUCUGCAUACCCCACCGCCCAAGAACCUCACUCAAAUCCACUGAAGAGAAAGAUCAAGAUUGAGGAGGGAAGUAUCUCGACUCAAGGACCUUCCGAAGGACAACGAGCUGAGAUGGUCAAAUUCCCUACCAACCCUUCCAUCUCUACACCUAGGAGACCAUACUUAGGAAACCUUCCCCAUUGCAGCAAGUGCAGCUACCAUCAUCAUGGUGUCUGCCGGGAGCUCUAUUGUGCUAGGUGCCACAUGUUGGGGCAUACUGCUCACGUCUGCGGAACCCCGGUUGAGUUCAUUACAUCAACCACCAAUGUGGCGACCCGUACAGUUUGCCACCUAUGUGGUGAAAUGGGACACUUCAAGAAGGACUGGCCAACCAAAAGGAAAGACGAGGACACAGGAGGAGUCUAACACUACUGCUUAGGGAGAAGCAUCAAGGAACCUGGUAGAUUUUUGGUACGUCUUACGAUCUCAGAUAACUAAACUGAAAAUAUUAAAAGACUAAUUCAAAAUGUAAAUACUUCCCUAAUAAGGCGAAAGUCACAGCACUGUGAUAAAAUUUAAAAAUUCAUUAGGUAAAACUAUAAUGGCUAAACAUAUACGUUACGGCCAUGUAUAGUUAAGAUGGAUAGACCUAGAGUGAGUGAAUGCCGCCUCAUUUCUUGUUCCUUGUUUGGUUGUGGAUUUAGGGCGGAGUCGAUCAGUCAACAGUCCUCCCCACCUUAAUUAUACAUGACUAGUAUAUGUUAGGCGAUUAUAGAAAUGCCUCGUGAGAAUCCAUUCAUGAAAAGAUACUCUACUCGGAAACACUUAGGACUCUCUAUAGUUCCGCGUUGACUCUAUCGGUCCAAGUAUUCGCGGCAGUGGUACAUAGGACGAAACCCGAGACGCCUAGAACUUGUGUGCUUGUUCGGCGCAUGACUCUAUUGACCCUCACUUUAUGUCAUGUCGAAGUAUGCCAACUUCGACGACUCUAUCGAUCAUGGUUUGACGUAGUGCAACCAUGUGUACAUCCUUAGUGCUGUGUAAAAAGAACUUUCUACGUAGCCAUGUCGGCAAAUAAAGGUUCUUCCGAACCUAAACAAAAUAAAAAUAAUAAAGACUAAUGCGAUCCGUUGGUCGUCAUUUUUAUUUCAAACCUUCCGAAGUACCCAGGAGAAGGGUACCGCGCGCUGUUGACCGACCCCUCAUAGUCAUAUGGAAACCGAAGCGAAAGACACUGCAAGAUACUCCAGAAGACAAUAACCAUCCGAAGCAUACUUCGUAGGAUCCCCCAGAGAGACCUUUCGCACCUCGCCCAUCAGGUUCGUGAACCCAGAGAAUAGAACUCAUAGGAAUGACCACUAUAACCAGGUAUAUGCGUAAAGGUGGUAUAUAAUCGAGAUCAAAAAGAUUUAAGAUGUGUGCUUCCUCCCUACUCCCUGUUCCUCGUUGGGUUGUNAAAGUUGUUGUCAUUCCGCUUGAGCCAACAUAGUAGCUAACACCCUCGGUUGGUAAAGAAAUCUGAGUCGUAAGAGUCAAGGACAUUGACUACGACCAUCCAUUCACGCUUAAUCCCCCGAAUUAAGCAUCGCAGCGAAUAUCCCGGAAAUCCGAGAGCUGCGAUAAAUUAAACUCUAAGAAGAGUGGAUGAGAAGACUAAAGUUCCGAGUGAUGGAACCCUAUGCCCACUAGAUUUGACCUAGACCGAGAAAACUCAAGACCUUUGGAAGAGUAGUGCAGUAGAUGCUCGCACUACUCAGACACUUUGUCCACCCUGUUACAGACAAGUAGUGCCUAUAACUCUCCACCCUCUCGCAUGGAGGAAAUCGUCGUCGCCCUGUAGACGAUAGACAACAUUCUUCGAAGGGAACACUAGAAUACCGAGAACCACAGGAUAACCUCCGCAGCCAAGAAUACUUGAUCAAAGUGCAAAAGUAGUUGCGUUGAGCCUCAUGACCCAGAUCCCGAAGAGAUUAUAGACUUAACACCAUCCUUGGUGUUAGUCGAGGGGUUAUGCAAGAGCAUGCGCUUUUCGCACUAGAAUAAACCAACGUCUUAGAGAUUCAAUGGACUACUAGGUGUUCCAUGAAUACUAUCUCGCACAGAAAUAGUAGAACCACCUCCUGAGGUAGUCCAACACUUGUCCGGUGAAACCCUAUCUCCCCGACCCUAAGGGUUUCCGUACCCCAAGCAUCAGAAGUACAGGUUCAUUUUGCACGAGUUUGAGAUAGACACCCUACAACAAAAGGAUACCGGAGACACACAGCCCAUCCGAUGAUCUAGAAAGUCUCUAAAAGUCAAUUGACAGUAAACGCGAACCCAAGGACAACCCGAGAUUCCUAAGAACCAACCUGAAGGACNNNNNNNNNNNNNNNNNNNNNNNNNNNNNNNNNNNNNNNNNNNNNNNNNNNNNNNNNNNNNNNNNNNNNNNNNNNNNNNNNNNNNNNNNNNNNNNNNNNNUAGCCGAAACAAUCUAAACGAGAAUCGAAGGUCUCGUUAAUAGGAAUAAAACGAUAAAAAGAUAGGCGAAAANNNNNNNNNNNNNNNNNNNNNNNNNNNNNNNNNNNNNNNNNNNNNNNNNNNNNNNNNNNNNNNNNNNNNNNNNNNNNNNNNNNNNNNNNNNNNNNNNNNNNNNNNNNNNNNNNNNNNNNNNNNNNNNNNNNNNNNNNNNNNNNNNNNNNNNNNNNNNNNNNNNNNNNNNNNNNNNNNNNNNNNNNNNNNNNNNNNNNNNNNNNNNNNNNNNNNNNNNNNNNNNNNNNNNNNNNNNNNNNNNNNNNNNNNNNNNNNNNNNNNNNNNNNNNNNNNNNNNNNNNNNNNNNNNAUUACGCCCAGCGUAAUUUGAAGUUCCAGCCCCUAUAAAAGGAGGUCGAGGGCAACCGAGUUGUUUGCUCAUUUCUUCCCUUUUUCUCGCGUUUUUGCAUCGUUUUUCGUGCAAGAAUUAUCCCGAAGCCCCGGUAUCAUUCCCGAGCCCCGAAGCAAGUCCCGAGGUCCCGAAGAUCCCGAGAAGUAAGAUUCCCGAGCCGAAGCUCUGCCCGCGAGGAGUCCGGUUUUUGUGAAGAUCUUCCAGAUCUGCCGAAGAAUCCUACUUCUACAAGCCGUAGUGUUGUCCGAUCAUCUUCUGAUCAAGUAGGUGUGUAGUUACUUUCUUCUAACGCAUAAUUAUGAAGUAUUUUAUACGAAAUAUGUGUUAUGUACAUAUUUUUUUUGUUAUGUGUGUGAAUGUAUAUUCACUUUCUUCUAUCUUAUAGAUCUGAUUAUUUCUCUAUGAAAUACGUGUUAUGUGUGUGUGCCUCAUCUGUUAUGUGGAAAAUGUAUUGAUUGAGCAUGCUAUACAGGUUUUAAAACUAUGUAUAAAAAUGUAUAUUUUAUCUGGUAAUAUGUUGGGUAGAACAUGGGUAGAUAGUUGGUGUGUAAUAAACAGAUGAGAGGCCUCGAUGUUGUUUUGAUCCAGUCAUCUAGCGGAAUUUAGAUGACGACCACGAACUUUUUUAGAUAGUCCAGUGGAACGCUAGCAGGCUCAUAACCUGUAUGUGUUAACGAGCUUGGGUGUUC
rnacentral:lncRNA from 1 species